rnacentral:rRNA from 1 species
GCGAGAAAGUAUCUUCGGAUAUGAGUAGAGCGGCGGACGGGUGAGUAACGCGUAGGAAUCUACCUAGUAGAAGGGGAUAGCCCGGGGAAACCCGGAUUAAUACCGUAUACCUCCUUCGGGAGAAAGAAGGCCUCUCUUUGAAGCUUUCGCUACUAGAUGAGCCUGCGUAAGAUUAGCUUGUUGGUGAGGUAAAGGCUCACCAAGGCUACGAUCUUUAGCUGGUCUGAGAGGACGAUCAGCCACAUUGGGACUGAGACACGGCCCAGACUCCUACGGGAGGCAGCAGUGGGGAAUAUUGGACAAUGGGCGCAAGCCUGAUCCAGCCAUACCGCGUGUGUGAAGAAGGCCUUCGGGUUGUAAAGCACUUUAAGCAGGGAGAAAAAGUUAUAAGUUAAUACCUUAUAACCCUGAUGUUACCUGCAGAAUAAGCACCGGCUAAUUCCGUGCCAGCAGCCGCGGUAAUACGGAAGGUGCAAGCGUUAAUCGGAAUUACUGGGCGUAAAGCGCGCGUAGGUGGUUUGUUAAGUUGGAUGUGAAAGCCCUGGGCUCAACCUAGGAACUGCAUCCAAAACUAACUCACUAGAGUACGAUAGAGGGAGGUAGAAUUCAUAGUGUAGCGGUGGAAUGCGUAGAUAUUAUGAAGAAUACCAGUGGCGAAAGCGGCCUCCUGGAUCUGUACUGACACUGAGUGCGAAAGCAUGGGUAGCGAACAGGAUUAGAUACCCUGGUAGUCCACGCCGUAAACGAUGACAACUAGCUGUUGGGAGACUAUGUCUUUCAGUGGCGCAGCUAACGCUUUAAGUUGUCCG